rnacentral:rRNA from 1 species
GGUAUCAGAAGUGCGAAUGCUGACAUAAGUAACGAUAAAGCGGGUGAAAAGCCCGCUCGCCGGAAGACCAAGGGUUCCUGUCCAACGUUAAUCGGGGCAGGGUGAGUCGACCCCUAAGGCGAGGCCGAAAGGCGUAGUCGAUGGGAAACGGGUUAAUAUUCCCGUACUUGGUGUUACUGCGAAGGGGGGACGGAGAAGGCUAUGUUGGCCGGGCGACGGUUGUCCCGGUUUAAGCGUGUAGGUGUGUGUUCCAGGUAAAUCCGGUUCACUUUAACACUGAGGCGUGAUGACGAGGCACUACGGUGCUGAAGCAACAAAUGCCCUGCUUCCAGGAAAAGCCUCUAAGCAUCAGGUAACAUCAAAUCGUACCCCAAACCGACACAGGUGGUCAGGUAGAGAAUACCAAGGCGCUUGAGAGAACUCGGGUGAAGGAACUAGGCAAAAUGGUGCCGUAACUUCGGGAGAAGGCACGCUGACAUGUAGGUGAAGUGAUUUACUCAUGGAGCUGAAGUCAGUCGAAGAUACCAGCUGGCUGCAACUGUUUAUUAAAAACACAGCACUGUGCAAACACGAAAGUGGACGUAUACGGUGUGACGCCUGCCCGGUGCCGGAAGGUUAAUUGAUGGGGUCAGCGCAAGCGAAGCUCCUGAUCGAAGCCCCGGUAAACGGCGGCCGUAACUAUAACGGUCCUAAGGUAGCGAAAUUCCUUGUCGGGUAAGUUCCGACCUGCACGAAUGGCGUAAUGAUGGCCAGGCUGUCUCCACCCGAGACUCAGUGAAAUUGAACUCGCUGUGAAGAUGCAGUGUACCCGCGGCAAGACGGAAAGACCCCGUGAACCUUUACUAUAGCUUGACACUGAACAUUGAGCCUUGAUGUGUAGGAUAGGUGGGAGGCUUUGAAGCGUGGACGCCAGUCUGCGUGGAGCCGGCCUUGAAAUACCACCCUUUAAUGUUUGAUGUUCUAACGUGGACCCGUGAUCCGGGUUGCGGACAGUGUCUGGUGGGUAGUUUGACUGGGGCGGUCUCCUCCUAAAGAGUAACGGAGGAGCACGAAGGUUGGCUAAUCCUGGUCGGACAUCAGGAGGUUAGUGCAAUGGCAUAAGCCAGCUUGACUGCGAGCGUGACGGCGCGAGCAGGUGCGAAAGCAGGUCAUAGUGAUCCGGUGGUUCUGAAUGGAAGGGCCAUCGCUCAACGGAUAAAAGGUACUCCGGGGAUAACAGGCUGAUACCGCCCAAGAGUUCAUAUCGACGGCGGUGUUUGGCACCUCGAUGUCGGCUCAUCACAUCCUGGGGCUGAAGUAGGUCCCAAGGGUAUGGCUGUUCGCCAUUUAAAGUGGUACGCGAGCUGGGUUUAGAACGUCGUGAGACAGUUCGGUCCCUAUCUGCCGUGGGCGCUGGAGAACUGAGGGGGGCUGCUCCUAGUACGAGAGGACCGGAGUGGACGCAUCACUGGUGUUCGGGUUGUCAUGCCAAUGGCACUGCCCGGUAGCUAAAUGCGGAAGAGAUAAGUGCUGAAAGCAUCUAAGCACGAAACUUGCCCCGAGAUGAGUUCU